rnacentral:rRNA from 1 species
UCUCCUGGAAAACGGGUGGUAAUACCGGAUGCUCCGCUCCAUCGCAUGGUGGGGUGGGAAAUGCUUUUGCGGCAUGGGAUGGGGUCGCGUCCUAUCAGCUUGUUGGCGGGGUGAUGGCCCACCAAGGCGUUGACGGGUAGCCGGCCUGAGAGGGUGACCGGCCACAUUGGGACUGAGAUACGGCCCAGACUCCUACGGGAGGCAGCAGUGGGGAAUAUUGCACAAUGGGCGCAAGCCUGAUGCAGCGACGCCGCGUGCGGGAUGGAGGCCUUCGGGUUGUAAACCGCUUUUGUUCAAGGGCAAGGCACGGUUUCGGCCGUGUUGAGUGGAUUGUUCGAAUAAGCACCGGCUAACUACGUGCCAGCAGCCGCGGUAAUACGUAGGGUGCGAGCGUUAUCCGGAUUUAUUGGGCGUAAAGGGCUCGUAGGCGGUUCGUCGCGUCCGGUGUGAAAGUCCAUCGCCUAACGGUGGAUCUGCGCCGGGUACGGGCGGGCUGGAGUGCGGUAGGGGAGACUGGAAUUCCCGGUGUAACGGUGGAAUGUGUAGAUAUCGGAAAGAACACCA